rnacentral:ncRNA from 1 species
CUAUACGCAUCAAUAGGUGCCCUUGGGUUGAAAGAUUCAAGGAAAAUCGGGUGAACUGCGGGAAAAAGCGUUUUAGGUCUCACACUACCAAGCAAUGUCUGAGAAGGCAUUGUGGCAAGGGGUAACGCCCAAGGUAUGGUAAAAAGGUGAUGAGGUAGCACAAUCCGCAACCAAGCUACCAGAAUGGCAUAAAAGUAAGGUAGAAGGCUCAGAGACUAGACGAUGAAUAGCCAAAAUGAUAAGUCGUCCACGAGUGCCCGACACGGAAAGAUAUGUAAGACUUUCUCGCUCUCCUUAGACCAGAGAGUGCCUCAACGUAAACGGGGGGUGAUGAUAUAGUCCAAUAUUUCCUCAAAAGAGGUUG